rnacentral:tRNA from 1 species
GGACCCUUAGCUCAAUUGGAAGAGCAGUUCACUCAUAAUGAGAAGGUUACAGGUUCAAUUCCUGUAGGGUCCA